rnacentral:rRNA from 1 species
CCUACGGGAGGCAGCAGUGGGGAAUAUUGCGCAAUGGGGGAAACCCUGACGCAGCAACGCCGCGUGCGGGAUGAAGGCCUUCGGGUUGUAAACCGCUUUCAGCAGGGAAGAUCCAAGACGGUACCUGCAGAAGAAGCCCCGGCUAACUACGUGCCAGCAGCCGCGGUAAUACGUAGGGGGCGAGCGUUAUCCGGAUUCAUUGGGCGUAAAGCGCGCGCAGGCGGGUUGCUAAGCGGGACCUCUAAUCUCAGGGCUCAACCUUGAGCCGGGUCCCGAACUGGCAGCCUCGGGUUCGGUAGGGGAGAUCGGAAUUCCCGGUGUAGCGGUGGAAUGCGCAGAUAUCGGGAAGAACACCGAUGGCGAAGGCAGAUCUCUGGGCCGCAACCGACGCUGAGGCGCGAAAGCUAGGGGAGCGAACAGGAUUAGAUACCCCAGUA